UCAACACUACAACCAGACUCGCGGCGCC
rnacentral:piRNA from 1 species